AGCCGCCUUCCCCUCACAUCGCUUCCAAAAAGAAGCCUACGGGCUACUAGAGGGAGUGGCCUUCAAAUGGGACAGUGGGGAUUCGGAUGACAUAUUAAAAUUUUUUUUUUUGCUGUUGGGGUGGUCAGGCGUUGGCACAGGUUGCCCAGGGAGGUGGUGGUUGCAGAGGGUAUGGUCAGGCUCUGUCAAUGUCCAGAUAAUGGAUCAGGGUGGCGGCGAUGAGGCACGUCGGGCCAGGAAGUCAGUCCGUAGUCCAGAUUAUAGGAUGAUGAUCUUUAGCAUAAGAAGUGUUUGAUCAGCCCGAAAGAAAGCUGUAGUGCAUGUUGCACAGAGAGAAUCAGGUGUUGCCGAGAUAAAGUCUCAAUGUGUGUAUCAAAUCAAAAGCUGGCUUUACUUUUAGAUGAUGGAUAUAGAUCUAUGUUAUGGCUACUGGACAGGAUAUAGAAAAGAGGAGGCCUCCAGUAAGGAACUCCCACAAGCCAGAGGCAGAGCAGCGAUUGUCCUGGAGCCACCAGUUCCCCAAC